CCCACCCAUUCACACGCUGAUUUGGUACGCCCGUGAAUGGGGGCCUUUAGAAAGUUGUUAAAGCGGGCUGCUUUCUAUGACUAUUAAUGAUAGGGUAAUAAUUUGGUGCUACCCUUUUAAUUACAGGGUGCUUCCCCUUGGUGAUGAAAAUGCCGCACCGCCACUGUGACUAAUGCUGAUGCUGUUGCUACAAAUAGUGCUUUGCCCGACGGAAUUGAAAUUAUGUGAACUCCCAGCGCAGAGGCUGAAGCCAAAGGAGACAUGAUGGUUUUGCAGCGCGAGCAGAUACAAUGCGAUAGCAAGAAGGCGGACACCAUGGAAAUGGUAGCUGCAGCAAGAAAUACACAAACUGCUGUAAAUUAGGCCCACAAUGCCAGAUGAAUGGCAUUCAUAGAAGCAGGACUUGAGUUGUGGAAAAAUGUAGAUAGUAUUCCUAAUCGUAAUUCAUUAAUGAAUCCUACUUAAUAUAACAAAAACAUGUCUUUAAAUGCAUCAACAUGGUACCUAAGUUAUAUACUUUUUUCUAGGCUCUUGAGAAAAAGGAGGAAUAGUUCUAAUUAUGUAAUAACUUGAUUGUUACUGAAUGAUUAUGAGAAUACUCAAAGACUUAUAUGGGAAAUAAGGCUUUUAUCAUUAAUAUUAUUAGUUUUAUUAAAGCUUUGUUGUUUUCCAAGAUGAUUUAGUCAGCAGUGGAUAUCUGACUUUAGAAAACAUAUACUUAGGUAAUUUGGUUAUUCUAGGAAAGAGACUUAAAUAAACAAACUGUGAUUAAUUUGUUGUUUAAAUAAAUAUAAAGUGAAUGUGUA